AGUGAACGCUGGCGGUAGGCCUAACACAUGCAAGUCGAACGGCAGCACAGUAAGCGCUUGCUCUUACGGGUGGCGAGUGGCGGACGGGUGAGGAAUACAUCGGAAUCUACUUUUUCGUGGGGGAUAACGUAGGGAAACUUACGCUAAUACCGCAUACUACCUACGGGUGAAAGCAGGGGAUCUUCGGACCUUUCGCGAUUGAAUGAGCCGAUGUCGGAUUAGCUAGUUGGCGGGGUAAAGGCCCACCAAGGCGACGAUGCGUAGCUGGUCUGAGAGGAUGAUCAGCCACACUGGAACUGAGACACGGUCCAGACUCCUACGGGAGGCAGCAGUGGGGAAUAUUGGACAAUGGGCGCAAGCCUGAUCCAGCAAUACCGCGUGGGUGAAGAAGGCCUUCGGGUUGUAAAGCCCUUUUGUUGGGAAAGAAAAGCAGCAGGUUAAUACCCCGAUGUUCUGACGGUACCCAAAGAAUAAGCACCGGCUAACUUCGUG
rnacentral:rRNA from 1 species